AUUGAACGCUGGCGGCGUGCUUAACACAUGCAAGUCGAUCGGUAACAGGUGUAGCAAUACAUGCUGACGAGAGGCGGACGGGUGAGGAAUAUUUGGGAAUCUGCCCAUCAGCGGGGGACAACCCGGGGAAACCCGGGCUAAUACCGCAUACGCUCUACGGAGGAAAGCCGGGGACCGCAAGGCCUGGCACUGAUGGAUGAGCCCAAAUCGGAUUAGCUAGUUGGCGGGGUAACGGCCCACCAAGGCGACGAUCCGUAGCUGGUCUGAGAGGACGAUCAGCCACACCGGAACUGAGACACGGUCCGGACUCCUACGGGAGGCAGCAGUGGGGAAUAUUGGACAAUGGGGGAAACCCUGAUCCAGCGACGCCGCGUGGGUGAAGAAGGCCUGCGGGUUGUAAAGCCCUUUCGGUAGGGACGAAAGCUCUUGCUCUAACAAAGCAGGAGGUUGACUUAACCUACAUAAGAAGCACCGGCUAACUCUGUGCCAGCCGCCGCAGUAA
rnacentral:rRNA from 1 species